rnacentral:lncRNA from 10 species
GGAAAUUUUUUUUAAAAAGUUUCAGACUUCAUAUAGAGAUAAAGAUUUUCGUACCCAGGGUAAGGCUCCAUACAUCUGAUCAAGAUAUAACUACAAAAGAAAAGCAACUAGCCAGCAAUUGUAACCUUAGCAACUAAUAGCAAUUACUAGUCUUGUCGGGCUCUCCAGGUACACAUUAACUGCUUCGAGGACCAUGUUGUUAGGCACAAUGGAGCAAGACUCCAUCUCUAAAUAAAUAAAUAAAGUAUGUUUUCGGACAUAAAUAUCAAUAAAAAUGACAGUUACCUUCUCCAAUGUAUCAUGAAUGUUCUUAAUGGCACCUAGAAUGGUGAAUCCUUUUCAGAAGGUUUUCAAUUUACUUUUCUCAUAUCAACCAGGGGAAUCACUAUCUAUGCCAGCUAUAACCUUAAGGUAUUUAUUUAUCAAAUAAGACUUGAAAGUUAAAAUUACUCCCUGAUUCAUAGGAUGCAGAAUGCAUAUGGUGUUAGCAGGUAUGAAAACAAUAUUAACCUCCAUGCACAUCUACAACAGAGCUCUUGGGUGAACAGAUUCAUUGUCAAUGAGCAGUCAUAUUUUGGAAUUAAUAUUUUUUUCUGUGCAUUAGGUCUCAACAUCGGGCUUAAAAUAUUUAGUAAACCAAGCUGAAAACAGAUGUGCUUUAAUUCAGGCUUUGUUUCAUUUCUAGAGCACAGGCAGAUUAGAUUUGGCAUAAUUCUUAAGGGCCCUAGGAUUUUCAGAAUGGUAAAUGACUACUGGCUUCAACUUCAGAUCACCAGCUGCAUUAGCCCCUAACAAGAGAAUCAGCCUGUUCUUUAAAGAUUUGAAGCCAGGCAUUGCCUUCUUUCCAGCUGUGGAAGUUCUAGAUGGCACCUAUUUCCAAUAGAAGGCUGUUUUAUCUAUACUUAAGUAUAGCCAUAUUUAUCAAUUGUCU